GGUGAUACCUCGACUGGUAAUGAAAUGGCUGCAAGCUACUGUAAUUGCCUAGCUCAGCAAACAAUGUAACAUCAAAUCAAAGGAGGUAUAUUUGGAAAUUUUGUACAUAGCCCGCAGUACGUCACCAUGGUUCAUUGGCGUUAAGCUGUAAGUCGCAUUUUAUACGAAAUACAGCACAGUAACAGGCCCUUCUGAACCAAUAGGCCUGCACUACCUAAAUACACCUGAUCAAGAACUAACCUGCUAACCCGUAUGACUUUGGGAUGUAGCAGGAAGGCGAAGCACAUGGAGAAAACCGACGCGGUCACAGGGUUCGUCUCCUUGUCACGAUUGAGAGACUUAUGAGUUCCUGAGAUCCCGAGAGCGACUCCACUCGGCUUAGCCACUUGGCACUUAGCUCCUGGUGGAGUCAUCCAUGGUGGUAAGGUCCAGGGAGAGGUUCCAGACGAAGAGCGAUCCAACCAAGACCUCAGUGGUGGAACUGGCAGAAGAUGAUGACGCAUCACAACAACAGUGAAAGCGGAGGAAGGCUGCAGCAGUGGAAGGUCCCCAGUCAUUUUGCAUUCCAUUACCACUGAACGCUGACCCUGAUCUAUCAACGGCCAUGUGGUGGCUGACCGUGCAGCAGCCUCCUCACGUUAAACAAAGUGAAUCUACCCUAUACAACACCUCAGGAGAACAUCAUAGUCGACCAGAGUUAUCACAGUACCACUACUAAUCUGUUAAUUUACAAGGAUUCGUCGAUACCUUGUAACCCCCUCAAUGUUAGCAGUGUAACAAGCUCAUUCAGACCCACCAUCCAUUUCCUGGUGGAGCGGCUGUCUCAAAGCUCCAGGUCAGUUGCGACCUCAGCUGCUGACUGCGUUGUGUUUGCACGUUCGCCCUGCAACAAUUCACGUUCCUCUGGUACUUCGGUCUUCUCCCACCUUCCAAAAGCAUCUGUUGUUUGCACGGGAUUUGGUCAGAACUUGCCAUGGGGAAGAAAAGGGUAGACGCACCUGAAGAGAUGCCGUGACCCGUGAGCGGGGGCUCGGGACCCAAUGGAGUUCGGAGGAGAUCGAAUGGUGGAAAGUGGAUAUUGCGUGAGCUCCAAUGGCUUAUUUGUGCACAGAACUGAUAAGUUUACUGACUUGGCGCUUUUAUUUUAUUUUAUAUAUUGGUUCUCUA